AGAGUUUGAUCCUGGCUCAGGAUGAACGCUGGCGGUAUGCCUAACACAUGCAAGUCGUACGAGAGUUUUUAACUCUAGUGGCGGACGGGUGAGUAACACGUAAGAAUUUACCUUCAGGAGGGGGAUAACAAUUGGAAACAAAUGCUAAUACCCCAUAUGCUUUCGAGUGAAAUGGAUUUAUAUUUAUCCGCCUAAAGAGAAGCUUGCGUCUGAUUAGCUUGUUGGUAAGGUAAAAGCUUACCAAGGCGACGAUCAGUAUCUGGUUUGAGAGGACGAUCAGACACACUGGAACUGAGACACGGUCCAGACUCCUACGGGAGGCAGCAGUGGGGAAUUUUCCGCAAUGGGCGAAAGCCUGACGGAGCAAUACCGCGUGAGGGAAGACUGCCUAUGGGUUGUAAACCUCUUUUUUCAGGGAGGAACAAAA
rnacentral:rRNA from 1 species